AGAUUUAGAAACUACACAGUCUAGGAUGGGGUGACUAGACUGUGAUAGGGUAUAUCAUAGCAGGAGCACAUUGCACCUAUUUUUUGGCUAAGCCACAUUGGCUCUCACAUUUUACAGUUGCAAGAUUCAGAAGCACAGACUAUCCAUUGUGAAAGAUCUACUCAUGAAUUAAAACAUGCUUUGGAUAUUAAGGAACGUGAAGCAAGUGCGGCAUCUCAGAAACUACAGGAUCUUCUGGUAGCAUCAUCAGAAACAAAUAAUACUAUAAAACAAUUAGAAGAGCAUAUACAGAGACUUGAAAUAGAAAAUGCCAGAUAUGAAGCUACAACGAACCAGCAAUGUAAUAGAAUGGAGAUACUUCAAAAAGACCUACAGAAUAGUGUUUCUGUUCAUAAUCGUCUUGAAGAAUUGAUAACCAGUUUACAGACAGCAAAAAUCAAUUUAGAGGAACAACUAAACCACCAGGUAU